CCCGCCGAAGGGGCGCACAUUUAGUGGACCGCGGGUAUAUAGUGUUUGUUUUAUGUAUGGGAGAAGUUUUUUUCUUACUCUCAACUUCGCGGGGGAACUUCGGCUCGAACAUCCAACCUAGGUUUGAUAUAACACAACCUGUGUGUUUGGUACCAUCAAGACAAAAAUAACACUGAUCGAGCAAAACUUAUCUUGUCUCGGUUUCUUUGUUGUCUCUGAAGAUUUGACUGCCAUAAAAAAUAUUAAUCGAGAUUCUUUUGUUAUGUUAAUUUAAAGCUUUGUAAUAUUGUCUCGUUUAAUAUGCUUAAAUGUCACUGCAGCCCACGUGAAUUUAUCUUCAAGAAAAGGUUUGUUUUUCUUUGUCCAAGUUGUUUCGAAACUUGUUAACAAUCAUUUGUUAUGAAACCAUGCACCAUCAGCAGUUUCGAAAAAUCUUCAACGAGAGAAAUUUUUAAGGAUUUUAUUGGUAACUUAACAGAGUAAUAAUUCAUUGAAAUUGAAAUUGUUCAGAAGUUAUUAUAUAUAUUCGAAUCGUGAAAAAAAUCCAGUUAAAGUUUUAACUAUUGUUUUAGAAUAUAUACUAUAUAUAUGUAAAAAAAAUUAUUUUUUAUUUAUCAAGUUGUAUUUUACGCAAUAAUAAUUGAGAAUUAGGAUA